GACCCUCCACCGGUAAUCUUCGAGCCCGAUUCCUUUUCUUUUCCCCGUAGAAGCCGUGGCAACCUCUUCCUAUGCUCGUCAAAAAAUGGAGCCGACGACGCUGCUGAAGCUUGGGGUAAACCCUUAUGCUCCUUCCUCUCUUCCUUCCUCUCUUUUUCAUGGUUUCGUGCACCCUCUCCGGCCUUCGGGAUCGCCGGAAAAUCCAUGAGCA
rnacentral:lncRNA from 1 species